rnacentral:rRNA from 1 species
CAAGUAGGGGGCGGAGCAAUCCGCAACCGGCGAACGGGUGCGUAACACGUGAGCAAUCUACCGAUUUGCGGGGGAUAGCCGGCCCAACGGCCGGGUAAUACCGCAUACGCUUGAUCUGGGGAGUCCUGGGUCAAGGAAACCUUUCGGGGGCAAAUCGAGGAGCUCGCGGCCUAUCAGCUAGUUGGCGGUGUCACGGACCACCAAGGCUCUGACGGGUAGCUGGUCUGAGAGGAUGGCCAGCCACAUUGGGACUGAGAGACGGCCCAGACUCCUACGGGAGGCAGCAGUGGGGAAUCUUGCGCAAUGGCCGAAAGGCUGACGCAGCGACGCCGCGUGUGGGAGGACGCCCUUCGGGGUGUAAACCACUGUUGCCCGGGACGAAUGCCCCUUUCGAGGGGAGUGACGGUACCGGGUGAGGAAGCACCGGCUAACUCCGUGCCAGCAGCCGCGGUAAUACGGAGGGUGCGAGCGUUGUCCGGAAUCACUGGGCGUAAAGGGCGCGUAGGCGGCUUCUUAAGCGUGCGGUGAAAGCUCGGGGCUCAACUCCGAGUCGGCCGUGCGAACUGGGGAGCUGGAGCACAGUAGAGGCAGAUGGAAUUCCGGGUGUAGCGGUGGAAUGCGUAGAGAUCCGGAAGAACACCGGUGGCGAAGGCGGUCUGCUGGGCUGUGGCUGACGCUGAGGCGUGACAGCGUGGGGAGCAAACAGGAUUAGAUACCCUGGUAGUCCACGCCGUAAACGAUGGGCACUAGGUGCUUGGGGGAGCGACCCCCUGAGUGCCGGCGCUAACGCAUUAAGUGCCCCGCCUGGGGAGUACGGCCGCAAGGCUGAAAGUGAAAGGA